rnacentral:tRNA from 1 species
GGUGGUUCAGUGGUAGAGUGCUUGCCUUGAAUGCAUGAGGUCCUGGGUUCGAUUCCUCAGCACCA